rnacentral:rRNA from 1 species
AAAAAAGGUAAGUUACUAAGAGCGAAUGGUGGAUGCCUUGACUGGUAAAGGCGAUGAAGGACGUACUAGACUGCGAUAAGCUACGGGGAGCUGUCAAGAAGCUUUGAUCCGUAGAUUUCCGAAUGGGGCAACCCAAUGUAUAGAGAUAUACAUUACCUAUAUAGGAGCGAACGAGGGGAAUUGAAACAUCUUAGUACCCUCAGGAAAAGAAAUCAAUAGAGAUUGCGUCAGUAGCGGCGAGCGAAAGCGCAAGAGGGCAAACCCAGUGCUUGCACUGGGGGUUGUAGGACUGCAAUGUGCAAGAGGUGAGUUUAGCAGAACAUUCUGGAAAGUAUAGCCAUAGAGGGUGAUAGUCCCGUAUGCGAAAAACAAACCUUAGCUAGCAGUAUCCUGAGUAGGGCGGGACACGAGAAAUCCUGUCUGAAGCUGGGUCGACCACGAUCCAACCCUAAAUACUAAUACCAGAUCGAUAGUGCACAAGUACCGUGAGGGAAAGGUGAAAAGAACUGAGGUGAUCAGAGUGAAAUAGAACCUGAAACCAUUUGCUUACAAUCAUUCAGAGCCCUAUGUAGCAAUACAGGGUGAUGGACUGCCUUUUGCAUAAUGAGCCUGCGAGUUGUGGUGUCUGGCAAGGUUAAGCAAACGCGAAGCCGUAGCGAAAGCGAGUCUGAAUAGGGCGCUUAGUCAGAUGCUGCAGACCCGAAACGAAGUGAUCUAUCCAUGAGCAAGUUGAAGCUAGUGUAAGAACUAGUGGAGGACUGAACCCAUAGGCGUUGAAAAGCCCCGGGAUGACUUGUGGAUAGGGGUGAAAGGCCAAUCAAACUUCGUGAUAGCUGGUUCUCUCCGAAAUAUAUUUAGGUAUAGCGUUGUGUCGUAAUAUAAGGGGGUAGAGCACUGAAUGGGCUAGGGCAUACACCAAUGUACCAAACCCUAUCAAACUCCGAAUACCUUAUAUGUAAUCACAGCAGUCAGGCGG